UACGUAGGUGGCAAGCGUUGUCCGGAAUUAUUGGGCGUAAAGCGCGCGCAGGCGGCCUCUUAAGUCUGAUGUGAAAGCCCCGGCUCAACCGGGGAGGGCCAUUGGAAACUGGGAGGCUUGAGUAUAGGAGAGAAGAGUGGAAUUCCACGUGUAGCGGUGAAAUGGCGUAGAGAUGUGGAGGAACACCAGUGGCGAAGGCGACGUGCUUUGGCCUAUAACUGACGCUGAGGCGCGAAAGCGUGGGGAGCAAACAGG
rnacentral:rRNA from 1 species